rnacentral:rRNA from 1 species
UACGUAGGGCGCAAGCGUUGUCCGGAAUUAUUGGGCGUAAAGAGCUCGUAGGCGGCUUGUUACGUCGACUGUGAAAACCCGCGGCUCAACCGCGGGCCUGCAGUCGAUACGGGCAGGCUAGAGUUCGGUAGGGGAGACUGGAAUUCCUGGUGUAGCGGUGAAAUGCGCAGAUAUCAGGAGGAACACCGGUGGCGAAGGCGGGUCUCUGGGCCGAUACUGACGCUGAGGAGCGAAAGCGUGGGGAGCGAACAGG